rnacentral:antisense_RNA from 1 species
AUUGUGAUGAGGGUGAUGAUCCAGCAGUCCCAAUGUGCUAGGUCCCGGGCUGGGAUCCAUGUCGUCCUUACAACAAUUCAGCAAGAAACAUAUUAUUCGAUCCAUUCACUGAAGAGGAAACUGAAAUCACUCAGAGAGGAGGAGUGAUUCAGCCCCAAAUUCCAAAGUGGUAGAAGUGGACUUGGGCUCAGCUUCCCUAGUGUCUUAGCUACUCCCCCAUCUAACUGUUCAUUCCUGGGACAGGUGAGUCAUUCUGCCUGAACUUCCACAGUUAGACUGAGACAUAAAAUGCUAAUCUACCUGGAAAGACAGGGGUAUAUGUCAGAGCCAUUCUUCAAGAUCAGAUGACCUGUUAAGUCCAAGGACUCAUCUGAACCAUCAGUCACUCUCUGGCCCAGAGAGGUGGUGUUGUUUGCCAAGGACACACAGCAGGUGGCCAAGAUGGAGCCAAGCCAUUUUCCCCACUGCAGGGACCCCUGAUCUCCAUAAGUGUCCCUGACAUUUCAAGGGCACAAAUUCUCUGGACACACGGAGGGAAUAAUGCUGACAUUUUAUAGAAGCUGACCCACUGGAUAUCCUUCUCACCCAACUCCAUUAGGCUAGGGAGAGUAAGAGGCAUGGUGACAAGGUGGCAAAGAUGUCACCAUGCCAUCCAAUCACGAGGUCUCCAGGAAACUGUAUAAGAAGGACACCCCCAGAAACUCCUGGCACUACUG